UACGGGGGGGAGCAAGCGUUGUUCGGAUUUACUGGGCGUAAAGGGCGCGUAGGCGGCCAGCACAAGUCAGUUGUGAAAUCUCCGGGCUUAACUCGGAAAGGUCAACUGAUACUGUGCGGCUAGAGUGCAGAAGGGGCAACUGGAAUUCUCGGUGUAGCGGUGAAAUGCGUAGAUAUCGAGAGGAACACCUGCGGCGAAGGCGGGUUGCUGGGCUGACACGUGACGCUGAGGAGCGAAAGCGUGGGGAGCGAACAGG
rnacentral:rRNA from 1 species